rnacentral:rRNA from 1 species
UCUGGCACCUUCGGKGUCCGAGUUGUAAUUUGAAGAUUGUAACCUUGGGGUUGGCUCUUGUCUAUGUUUCUUGGAACAGGACGUCACAGAGGGUGAGAAUCCCGUGCGAUGAGAUGCCCAAUCCUAUGUAAGGUGCUUUCGAAGAGUCGAGUUGUUUGGGAAUGCAGCUCUAAGUGGGUGGUAAAUUCCAUCUAAAGCUAAAUAUUGGCGAGAGACCGAUAGCGAACAAGUACAGUGAUGGAAAGAUGAAAAGAACUUUGAAAAGAGAGUGAAAAAGUACGUGAAAUUGUUGAAAGGGAAGGGUUUGAGAUCAGACUCGAUAUUUUGUGAGCCUUGCCUUCGUGGCGGGGUGACCCGCAGCUUAUCGGGCCAGCAUCGGUUUGGGCGGWAGGAUAAUGGCGUAGGAAUGUGACUUUGCUUCGGUGAAGUGUUAUAGCCUGCGUUGAUGCUGCCUGCCUAGACCGAGGACUGCGAUUUUAUCAAGGAUGCUGGCAUAAUGAUCCCAAACCGCCC